rnacentral:rRNA from 1 species
GCUUGCUUCCGCCGACGACCGGCGCACGGGUGCGUAACGCGUAUACAAUCUACCUUAUACUGGGGUAUAGCCUUUAGAAAUGAAGAUUAACCCCCCAUAGUCUCUUAGAGUGGCAUCACUUCUAGAGUAAAGGUUACGGUAUAAGAUGAGUAUGCGUUCUAUUAGUUUGUUGGUGUGGUAACGGCACACCAAGACUACGAUAGAUAGGGGCCCUGAGAGGGGGAUCCCCCACACUGGUACUGAGACACGGACCAGACUCCUACGGGAGGCAGCAGUGAGGAAUAUUGGACAAUGGAGGCAACUCUGAUCCAGCCAUGCCGCGUGCAGGAAGACUGCCCUAUGGGUUGUAAACUGCUUUUAUACAGGAAGAAACACCUCUACGUGUAGAGGCUUGACGGUACUGUAAGAAUAAGGAUCGGCUAACUCCGUGCCAGCAGCCGCGGUAAUACGGAGGUUCCAAGCGUUAUCCGGAAUCAUUGGGUUUAAAGGGUCCGUAGGUGGAUAAUUAAGUCAGAGGUGAAAUCUUGCAGCUCAACUGUAAAAUUGCCUUUGAAACUGGUUAUCUUGAGUUAUUAUGAAG